rnacentral:rRNA from 1 species
CGUAGGGUCCGAGCGUUGUCCGGAAUUACUGGGCGUAAAGAGCUCGUAGGUGGUUUGUCGCGUUGUCCGUGAAAACUCACAGCUCAACUGUGGGCGUGCGGGCGAUACGGGCAGACUGGAGUACUGCAGGGGAGACUGGAAUUCCUGGUGUAGCGGUGGAAUGCGCAGAUAUCAGGAGGAACACCGGUGGCGAAGGCGGGUCUCUGGGCCGAUACUGACGCUGAGGAGCGAAAGCGUGGGGAGCGAACAGG